GACGAACGCUGGCGGCGUGCUUAACACAUGCAAGUCGAACGGAAAGGCCCUGCUUUUGUGGGGUGCUCGAGUGGCGAACGGGUGAGUAACACGUGAGUAACCUGCCCUUGACUUUGGGGAUAACUUCAGGAAAACUGGGGCUAAUACCGGAUAGGAGCUCCUGCUGCAUGGUGGGGGUUGGAAAGUUUCGGCGGUUGGGGAUGGACUCGCGGCUUAUCAGCUUGUUGGUGGGGUAGUGGCUUACCAAGGCUUUGACGGGUAGCCGGCCUGAGAGGGUGACCGGCCACAUUGGGACUGAGAUACGGCCCAGACUCCUACGGGAGGCAGCAGUGGGGAAUAUUGCACAAUGGGCGGAAGCCUGAUGCAGCAACGCCGCGUGCGGGAUGACGGCCUUCGGGUUGUAAACCGCUUUCGCCUGUGACGAAGCGUGAGUGACGGUAAUGGGUAAAGAAGCACCGGCUAACUACGUG
rnacentral:rRNA from 1 species